GACGAACCUUGCUAACGUUAUUCGGAAUUACUGGGCUUAAAGGGUGCGUAGGCGGUGCAGAAAGUCGGGUGUGAAAUCCCCCAGCUCAACUGGGGAACUGCGCCCGAAACUGCUGUGCUAGAGGAAGAUAGAGGUACGCGGAAUUCCUGGUGUAGCGGUGAAAUGCGCAGAUAUCAGGAGGAACACCGGUGGCGAAGGCGGUUCUCUGGGCAUUACCUGACGCUGAGGAGCGAAAGUGUGGGGAGCGAACAGG
rnacentral:rRNA from 1 species